rnacentral:sRNA from 2 species
AUGUACCACGCGUACAUGCCGGUUCCUGCGCGCCGUCCGCACCCACCUGACGCCUGCCCGCUCCGUUUUGUCAGCC